GAGACACCCUUCUGGGGCAAGACUUGCUUCAGUGGGGCUUUGGUGCUCACUGAGUCUGCCCCCGAGUGUGUCCCU
rfam:Myotis lucifugus cont2.13272, whole genome shotgun sequence.